rnacentral:rRNA from 1 species
CACACUGGUCACUGCAUACCACAAAAGGUCCAGACUCCUACGGGAGGCAGCAGUGGGGAAUAUUGGACAAUGGGGGAAACCCUGAUCCAGCAAUGCCGCGUGUGUGAAGAAGGUCUUCGGAUUGUAAAGCACUUUUGGCAGGGACGAUGAUGACGGUACCUGCAGAAUAAGCCCCGGCUAACUUCGUGCCAGCAGCCGCGGUAAUACGAAGGGGGCUAGCGUUGCUCGGAAUGACUGGGCGUAAAGGGCGCGUAGGCGGCAUAGACAGUCAGAAGUGAAAUUCCUGGGCUCAACCUGGGGACUGCUUUUGAUACGUCUAAGCUAGAGUGGAGAAGAGGGUUGUGGAAUUUCCAGUGUAAGGUGAAAUU